rnacentral:rRNA from 1 species
CGCGUAGGCGGGCUUUCAAGUCGGUUGUGAAAUCCCUCAGCUCAACUGAGGAACUGCAUCCGAUACUGUUUGUCUUGAGGACGAGAGGGGAGAGUGGAACUUCUGGUGGAGCGGUGAAAUGCGUAGAUAUCAGAAGGAACGCCGGUGGCGAAAGCGACUCUCUGGCUCGUAUCUGACGCUGAGGCGCAAGGCUUGGUAAGCAAACG